rnacentral:rRNA from 1 species
GAUGAACGCUGGCGGCGUGCCUAAUACAUGCAAGUCGAGCGAACAGACGAGGAGCUUGCUCCUCUGACGUUAGCGGCGGACGGGUGAGUAACACGUGGAUAACCUACCUAUAAGACUGGGAUAACUUCGGGAAACCGGAGCGAAUACCGGAUAAUAUAUUGAACCGCAUGGUUCAAUAGUGAAAGACGGUUUUGCUGUCACUUAUAGAUGGAUCCGCGCCGCAUUAGCUAGUUGGUAAGGUAACGGCUUACCAAGGCAACGAUGCGUAGCCGACCUGAGAGGGUGAUCGGCCACACUGGAACUGAGACACGGUCCAGACGCCUACGGGAGGCAGCAGUAGGGAAUCUUCCGCAAUGGGCGAAAGCCUGACGGAGCAACGCCGCGUGAGUGAUGAAGGUCUUCGGAUCGUAAAACUCUGUUAUUAGGGAAGAACAAAUGUGUAAGUAACUAUGCACGUCUUGACGGUACCUAAUCAGAAAGCCACGGCUAACUACGUG